rnacentral:sRNA from 2 species
ACUAAUUAUCACUGCUACUACUAUUAUUUGUUAUUAUUAUUCUAUUACUAUACACUAUAUACUAUCUUCUACUAUUCACUCUUCACACUGUUAUCACCUCUCACAUCAAUAAUCUUCAAUUACUGAAGAUCUAUGUACUUUUAUAUAGAUAAUCUGUUCAAGAAAUGUCUUGAUUUCUGCAGAAGUAGUUGACUGUCAAUUUCAAGAAUUGAUAACUGAAAAGAGUUGUCAUUACUCCCACAAAACCACACCUGCUAUUUCAAAUAUCACUGGUCCGCCACCACCACCACUAAAUUCGAAUCGCAGCAAAGAGAUUGCUUCAUACUCUUCACAU